AACGAACGCUGGCGGCAUGCCUAACACAUGCAAGUCGAACGAGACCUUCGGGUCUAGUGGCGCACGGGUGCGUAACGCGUGGGAACCUGCCCUUAGGUUCGGAAUAACUCCCCGAAAGGGGUGCUAAUACCGGAUAAUGUCUUCGGACCAAAGAUUUAUCGCCUUUGGAUGGGCCCGAGUUGGAUUAGCUAGUUGGUAGGGUAAAAGCCUACCAAGGCGACGAUCCAUAGCUGGGCUGAGAGGAUGAUCAGCCACACUGGGACUGGGACACGGCCCAGACUCCUACGGGAGGCAGCAGUGGGGAAUAUUGGACAAUGGGCGAAAGCCUGAUCCAGCAAUGCCGCGUGAGUGAUGAAGGCCUUAGGGUUGUAAAGCUCUUUUACCCGGGAUGAUAAUGACAGUACCGGGAGAAUAAGCUCCGGCUAACUCCGUG
rnacentral:rRNA from 1 species